rnacentral:rRNA from 1 species
UCUCCUUUUUUUAAUCAGUGAAACUAAUCUUCCCGUGAAGAAGCGGGAAUAUCCCCAUAAGACGAGAAGACCCCAUGGAGCUUCAAACCCAAUUACACCCCUAACCCCUAUAACUACUUAACCCUUAGGAUUCUGUAUUAUUGGUUUUAGGUUGGGGCGACCACGGAGUACAACAAAACCUCCACAAUGAACGGAACUACUUCCUCAUCUGAGAGCUACACCUCUAAGAAUUAAAAUAUUAACAUAAAAUGAUCCAUUUUUGAUCAAUGAACCAAGUUACCCUGGGGAUAACAGCGCAAUCCAUUUCAAGAGCCCCUAUCGACAAAUGGGUUUACGACCUCGAUGUUGGAUCAGGGUAUCCUGGUGGUGCAGCAGCUACUAAAGGUUCGUUUGUUCAACGAUCAAAACCCU